rfam:Gossypium hirsutum cultivar TM-1 unplaced genomic scaffold scaffold42.1, whole genome shotgun sequence
UGUUAAAAGUUUUAUUUAUUUCUACCAUUAAAAAUUAAUGUAGCUGACAGAAUAACUAAAUAAUUACAUUGUGAUAUGCCAUAUGUACCUCAUAUUGACAUACAAUAACCUGUUUUUAAUAGUAAAAUUAGAUGAAAUUUUUAACA